GCUAAUAUAGUAAAUUAGUAAUAACUCAAAUAUUGAUAAAACAAAACACAAAAAUGUUAGUGCUUGCAUGUUCAUCUUUUGAGGAGCCGAAUGUUGGAGAAGAAAAGCUUUGAAAUUUCGGCAAUUUGAGAUCAAAAUUCAAGGAGGCUGAUGCAUAAAAUAGAGUUUACUUCAGACUUCACAUGAUUUAAGAAAGAUGGGGCACAAUGGUUGGUUGAUAACACAGACAUCAAACUUGUAGAGGUUCGUUAGCUCACUCGUUCCAGACAAGUCGGAGUUCCGCGUCACACUAUCCAAAUUUCCGUUUGGUAUUUUGAACUUAUGAACCUUUGUAAAUAUGGCAUGUAUAGGCUAGUUUGAUAAUAUAAGUUAUGUUUUGGAACCAUGUUUUGAGUAAGAAUUGUAUAUAAGUUAAGCCAUGUGAUUUGGCUUAUUUGGUACUAUGUUUUGGUUAUAUAUGUGUGCGUUUAAUCAUGGUAUGGUUUUAGUAUGAUAAUGUAUGUGUGAUGUAAUGGCCUAAAUUCAAGGUUAUCAGAAUAGUGGUUUCAUAACCACAAAUCCGAUUUAAAGAGAAA